GGGACACGUGGUAUCCUGUCUGAAUAUGGGGGGACCAUCCUCCAAGGCUAAAUACUCCUGACUGACCGAUAGUGAACCAGUACCGUGAGGGAAAGGCGAAAAGAACCCCGGCGAGGGGAGUGAAAAAGAACCUGAAACCGUGUACGUACAAGCAGUGGGAGCACGCUUAGGCGUGUGACUGCGUACCUUUUGUAUAAUGGGUCAGCGACUUAUAUUCUGUAGCAAGGUUAACCGAAUAGGGGAGCCGAAGGGAAACCGAGUCUUAACUGGGCGUUAAGUUGCAGGGUAUAGACCCGAAACCCGGUGAUCUAGCCAUGGGCAGGUUGAAGGUUGGGUAACACUAACUGGAGGACCGAACCGACUAAUGUUGAAAAAUUAGCGGAUGACUUGUGGCUGGGGGUGAAAGGCCAAUCAAACCGGGAGAUAGCUGGUUCUCCCCGAAAGCUAUUUAGGUAGCGCCUCGUGAAUUCAUCUCCGGGGGUAGAGCACUGUUUCGGCAAGGGGGUCAUCCCGACUUACCAACCCGAUGCAAACUGCGAAUACCGGAGAAUGUUAUCACGGGAGACACACGGCGGGUGCUAACGUCCGUCGUGAAGAGGGAAACAACCCAGACCGCCAGCUAAGGUCCCAAAGUCAUGGUUAAGUGGGAAACGAUGUGGGAAGGCCCAGACAGCCAGGAUGUUGGCUUAGAAGCAGCCAUCAUUUAAAGAAAGCGUAAUAGCUCACUGGUCGAGUCGGCCUGCGCGGAAGAUGUAACGGGGCUAAACCAUGCACCGAAGCUGCGGCAGCGACACUAUGUGUUGUUGGGUAGGGGAGCGUUCUGUAAGCCUGUGAAGGUGUGCUGUGAGGCAUGCUGGAGGUAUCAGAAGUGCGAAUGCUGACAUAAGUAACGAUAAAGCGGGUGAAAAGCCCGCUCGCCGGAAGACCAAGGGUUCCUGUCCAACGUUAAUCGGGGCAGGGUGAGUCGACCCCUAAGGCGAGGCCGAAAGGCGUAGUCGAUGGGAAACAGGUUAAUAUUCCUGUACUUGGUGUUACUGCGAAGGGGGGACGGAGAAGGCUAUGUUGGC
rnacentral:rRNA from 1 species